UGUUCUACAUGUUUUCAGAAACUAUCGAAGAACCAAGAGGUAUGGCAAGAAUGAGUAGGUCUUCUGUGGCAGGCCAAGAACAAUAUGAGGACAUGUGUCAGCCCUCCACUUCCAUACCUGAGCAAGAAAUUUGUUUUGGUACACCUUCCAGAAAUGAAAUUAUCAGUGUUACCCAAGGUCAUGGAAGCUGUGAUGAUAGCUAUA